ensembl:lncRNA
CGCCAUUGUAAGUUCAGAGUCACUCGCCCUAACAGUGCGUGUGUGCUGGAGGUGAGCGAAAGCUCGGGGGAGAGGGGUGAGUGUGGUGGAGGUACCUGUACCAGACAGAGGGAGACAGGCCAGGGAGAGAGGGGGUGAGUGUGGUGGGGGUACCAGUACCAGACAGAGGGAGACAGGCCAGGGAGAGAGGGGUGAGUGUGGUGGGGGUACCUAUACCAGACAGAGGGAGACAGGCCAGGGAGAGAGGGGUGAGUGUGGUGGAGGUACCUAUACCAGACAGAGGGAGACAGGCCAGGGAGAGAGGGGUGAGUGUGGUGGGGGUACCUAUACCAGACAGAGGGAGACAGGCCAGGGA